rnacentral:rRNA from 1 species
AAUUACUGGGCGUAAAGGGCGUCUAGGCGGCCAGUCAAGUCGACGUUGAAAUUCCUCGGCUAAACUGAGGGAGGUACGUCGAAACUGACCGGCUAGAGGGUCGUAGAGGUAAGCGGAACUCUCGGAGUAGCGGUGAAAUGCGUAGAGACCGAGAGGUACCCCGAUGGUGAAGACAGCUUACUGGGCGUCUCCUGACGCUGAAGCGCUAAGGCCAGGGGAGCAAAGGGGAUUAGAUACCCCCGUAGUCCUGGCUUCAAACGAUGUGGGCUUGGUGUCGGCCCCCUAUAGAGGGUCGUUGCCGGAGUUAACGCGUUAAGCCCACCGCCUGGGGAUUACGUCCGCAAGGAUGAAACUCAAGGGAAUUGACGGGGGCCCACACAACCGGUGGAGCACGUGGUUUAAUUCGAUGAUAAGCGAAGAACCUUACCAGGGCUUGACCUAGCGGUAGUAGAACCCCGAAAGGGGAACGACCUCAAGCUUUGCUUGAGGAGCCGUGGCAGGUAUUGCAUGGCUGUCGUCAGCUCGUGUCGUGGGACGUUGGGUUAAGUCCCGUAACGAGCGCAACCCCUGCCCUUAAUUGCCAACGGGUAAUGCCGGGUACUAUAAGGGGACUGCCGGAGAAUAUCCGGAGGAAGGAGGGGAUGACGUCAAGUCAUUAUGAUCCUUAUGCUCUGGGCGACACACGUGCUACAAUGGGCACUACAAUGAGGAGCAAAUCCGCAAGGACGAGCAAAUCUCAAAAAGGUGCCCUCAGUGCGGAUUGGGGUCUGCAACCCGACCCCAUGAAGAUGGAAUCGG